UUAAUUGAAGAGUUUGAUCAUGGCUCAGAUUGAACGCUGGCGGCAGGCCUAACACAUGCAAGUCGAGCGGUAACAGAGAGUAGCUUGCUACUUUGCUGACGAGCGGCGGACGGG
rnacentral:rRNA from 1 species